GGAGAGAUGCCGGAGCGGUUGAACGGGACGGUCUCGAAAACCGUUGUUCAUCUUGGAUGGACCGAGGGUUCGAAUCCCUCUCUCUCCGCCA
rnacentral:tRNA from 1 species